UAAGGGUCUCCGAAACAGAUGAAAUCGAUGGUUGUACCCAAAGAGACGAUUUGGAAAAAUAAAGAAAACAAAAACAGUGGGGAAAGAGAAGAAAAAUCAGCUAAAGAGACAAAAGAUGGAGAUAAGAAAAGCAAAGAAAAGAAAAACUAGCAAAGGAUGGAGUUAGACGUCGGUUACAAAAAAAGACUUUUGGGGAAACUGAUUCGCUCAAUCUCACUACCCACAUUAUCUCAACCGCCCACUAUUCAGUUAUCAAUUAUAACUCAAACUCUCAGUCACUAAGCCGAGCAAAAA
rnacentral:lncRNA from 1 species